UACGUAGGGUGCAAGCGUUAAUCGGAAUUACUGGGCGUAAAGCGUGCGCAGGCGGUUUUGUAAGACAGAGGUGAAAUCCCCGGGCUCAACCUGGGAACUGCCUUUGUGACUGCAAGGCUUGAGUGCGGCAGAGGAGGGCGGAAUUCCCGGUGUAGCGGUGAAAUGCGUAGAUAUCGGGAGGAACAUCAGUGGCGAAGGCGGCCCUCUGGUCCAGUACUGACACUCAAGUGCGAAAGCGUGGGGAGCAAACAGG
rnacentral:rRNA from 1 species